rnacentral:rRNA from 1 species
ACGGGUGAGUAACGCGUGAGUAACCUGCCUUUCAGAGGGGGAUAACGUUCUGAAAAGAACGCUAAUACCGCAUGAGACUACAGAGCCGCAUGGCUCAGUGGUCAAAGGAGCAAUCCGCUGAAAGAUGGACUCGCGUCCGAUUAGAUAGUAGGCGGGGUAACGGCCCACCUAGUCGACGAUCGGUAGCCGGACUGAGAGGUUGAACGGCCACAUUGGGACUGAGACACGGCCCAGACUCCUACGGGAGGCAGCAUG